UUCGCCCUUAGAGUUUGAUCCUGGCUCAGGACGAACGCUGGCGGCGUGCUUAAUACAUGCAAGUCGAACGGAGUUAAGGGUUUCGGCCUUUAACUUAGUGGCGAACGGGUGAGUAACGCGUGAAUAACCUGACUCAAAGAGGGGGAUAACAACGGGAAACUGUUGCUAAUACCGCAUGAGACCACAACACCGCAUGAUGAAGGGGUCAAAGAUUUAUCGCUUUGAGAGGGGUUCGCGUCCCAUUAGGUAGUUGGAGGGGUAACGGCCCACCAAGCCAACGAUGGGUAGCCGAGCUGAGAGGCUGAUCGGCCACACUGGAACUGAGACACGGUCCAGACUCCUACGGGAGGCAGCAGUAGGGAAUAUUGGGCAAUGGGCGCAAGCCUGACCCAGCAACGCCGCGUGAGGGAAGAAGGUUUUCGGAUUGUAAACCUCUGUCCUAUGUGACGAAGGAAGUGACGGUAGCAUAGGAGGAAGCCACGGCUAACUACGUGCCAGCAGCCGCGGUAAUACGUAGGUGGCAAGCGUUAUCCGGAAUUACUGGGUGUAAAGGGAGCGCAGGCGGGAUAGCAAGUCAGCUGUGAAAACUAUGGGCUCAACCCAUAAACUGCAGUUGAAACUGUUGUUCUUGAGUGAAGUAGAGGUAAGCGGAAUUCCUAGUGUAGCGGUGAAAUGCGUAGAUAUUAGGAGGAACAUCGGUGGCGAAGGCGGCUUACUGGGCUUUUACUGACGCUGAGGCUCGAAAGCGUGGGGAGCAAACAGGAUUAGAUACCCUGGUAGUCCACGCUGUAAACGAUGAUUACUAGGUGUGGGGGGACUGACCCCUUCCGUGCCGCAGUUAACACAAUAAGUAAUCCACCUGGGGAGUACGACCGCAAGGUUGAAACUCAAAGGAAUUGACGGGGGCCCGCACAAGCAGUGGAGUAUGUGGUUUUAAUUCGAAGCAACGCGAAGAACCUUACCAGGUCUUGACAUCGUAUGCAUAGUCUAGAGAUAGAUGAAAUCCCUUCGGGGACAUAUAGACAGGUGGUGCAUGGUUGUCGUCAGCUCGUGUCGUGAGAUGUUGGGUUAAGUCCCGCAACGAGCGCAACCCUUACCAUUAGUUGCUACGCAAGAGCACUCUAAUGGGACUGCCGUUGACAAAACGGAGGAAGGUGGGGAUGACGUCAAAUCAUCAUGCCCCUUAUGACCUGGGCUACACACGUACUACAAUGGCAAUAAAACAGAGGGAAGCAAAACAGCGAUGUGGAGCAAAUCCCGAAAAAUUGUCUCAGUUCAGAUUGCAGGCUGAAACUCGCCUGCAUGAAGUCGGAAUUGCUAGUAAUCGCAGAUCAGCAUGCUGCGGUGAAUAAAUUCCCGGGCCUUGUACUCACCGCCCGUCA
rnacentral:rRNA from 1 species